CAGGUUAUUACCAGGUUAUAACCAGGUAAUGUCUCAGGAUAUAACCAGGUUAUAACCAGGUUAUAAACAGGUUAUGUCUCAGGAUAUAAUAGGUCAUAACCAGGUAAUGUCUCAUGAUAUAACCAGGUUAUAACCAGGUAUUGUCUCAAGGAUAUAACCAGGUAAUAACCAGGUAAUGUCUCAGGAUAUAACCAGGUUUACCAGGUAAUGUCUCAGGUUAUAACCAGGUUAUAACCAGGUAAUGUCUCAGGUCAUAACCAGGUUAUAACCUGUUUACAACCAAGUAAUGUCUCAGGUUAUAACCAGGUAAUGUCUCAGGUUAUAACCAGGUAAUGUCUCAGGAUAUAACCAGGUUAUAACUAGGUUAAAACCAGGUAAUGUCUCAGGAUAUAACUAGGUUAUAACCAGGUAAUAUCUCAGGAUAUAACCAGGUUAUAACCAGGUAAUGUCUCAGGAUAUAACCAGGUUAUAACUAGGUUUUAACCAGGUAAUGUCUCAGGAUAUAAUAGGUCAUAACCAGGUAAUGUCUCAGGAUAUAACCAGGUUAUAACCAGGUACUGUCUCAGGAUAUAACCAGGUUAUAACCAGGUAAUGUCUCAGGUUAUGACCAGGUUAUAACCACGUUAUAACCAGGUAAUGUCUCAGGUUAUAACCAGGUUAUAACCAGGUAAUGUCUGAGGAUAUAACUAGGUUAUAACCAGGUAAUGUCUCAGGAUAUAACCAGGUUAUAACCAGGUAAUGUCUCAGGAUAUAACCAGGUAAUAAGCAGGUAUUGUCUCAGGUUAUAACCAGGUUAUAACCACGUUAUAACCAGGUAAUGUCUCAGGUCAUAACCAGGUUAUAACCUGUUUACAACCAGGUAAUGUCUCAGGUUAUAACCAGGUAAUGUCUCAGGAUAUAACUAGGUUAAAACCAGGUAAUAUCUCAGGAUAUAACCAGGUUAAAACCAGGUAAUAUCUCAGGAUAUAACCAGGUUUUAACCAGGUUAUGUCUCAGGAUAUAACUAGGGUAUAACCAGGUAAUGUCUCAAGAUAUAACCAGGUUAUAACCAGGUAAUGUCUCAGGAUAUAACCAGGUUAUAACCAGGUUAUAACCAGGUAAUGUCUCAGGAUAUAACUAGGUUAAAACCAGGUAAUAUCUCAGGAUAUAACCAGGUUAUAACCAGGUAAUGUCUCAGGAUAUAACCAGGUUAUAACCAGGUAAUGUCUCAGGUUAUGACCAGGUUAUAACCACGUUAUAACCAGGUAAUGUCUCAGGUUACAACCAGGUAAUAACCAGGUAAUGUCUGAGGAUAUAACUAGGUUAUAACCAGGUAAUGUCUCAGGAUAUAACCAGGUUAUAACCAGGUAAUGUCUCAGGAUAUAACCAGGUAAUGAGUAGGUAUUGUCUCAGGUUAUAAACAGGUUAUAACCACGUUAUAACCAGGUAAUGUCUCAGGAUAUAACCAGGUUAUAACCAGGUUAUAAACAGGUAAUGUCUCAGGAUAUAACUAGGGUAUAACCAGGUAAUGUCUCAGGAUAUAAUAGGUCAUGACCAGGUAAUGUCUGAGGAUAUAACUAGGUUAUAACCAGGUAAUGUCUCAGGAUAUAACCAGGUUAUAACCAGGUAAUGUCUCAGGAUAUAACCAGGUAAUAAGCAGGUAUUGUCUCAGGUUAUAACCAGGUUAUAACCACGUUAUAACCAGGUAAUGUCUCAGGUUAUAACCAGGUUAUAAUCAGGUUAUAUCCAGGUAAUGUCUCUCAGGUUAUAACCAGGUUAUAACCAGGUAAUGUCUCAGGAUAUAACCAGGUUAUAACCAGGUUAUAAACAGGUAAUGUCUCAGGAUAUAACCAGGUUAUAACCAGGUAAUGUCUCAGGAUAUAACCAGGUUAUAACCAGGUAAUGUCUCAGGUUAUAACCACGUUAUAACCACGUUAUAACCAGGUAAUGUCUCAGGUCAUAACCAGGUUAUAACCUGUUUACAACCAGGUAAUGUCUCAGGUUAUAACCAGGUAAUGUCUCAGGAUAUAACCAGGUUAUAACUAGGUUAUAACCAGGUCAUGUCUCAGGAUAUAACUAGGGUAUAACCAGGUAAUGUCUCAAGAUAUAACCAGGUUAUAACCUGGUAA
rnacentral:lncRNA from 1 species